AACUAGUUUUUGCUUCUCCCUCGGCGUGUGUACUUAGGGCUCGUUUGGUUCGCGGAAAGCAUUUUUCCUUCUAAAAAUAUGAUUUCUAGAAAACAAAUUUCUAAAAAAUGGAUGCCUAGAAAAAUACUUUUGGCAUGUUUGGUUGACCAUUGGAAAGUGACCAAUUUACAAAAUAUUUAUGUUUGAUUGGCCAUCCACUUUUUUUAGAAAAGUUAUGUAUAAUUCCUAUUAUAUCCUUAAUAAAAAUUAGGUUUUUAAUGCCUAUUUAAUGCUUCUUUAAUACUGAAGGGACUUUUUAGAAAAAAGUAAAAAUGGAGUGAUUCCCGCCUCAUGGAAAAGUAACUUUCCCAUGUUUCUCAUGGGAAAGACUUUUCCAUGAAAUGUGGAAAUCAUAUUCCAAUCAGAAUACAACUUUUCCUUCUCUCUCCUUUGAAAACUCCAACCAAACAUGAGGCAUCUCAUUACUUUUCCGUUGACCACAUUUUUUCCCCUUCUUUUCCCGCGAACCAAACGAGCCCUUAGAGUUUGUUUCGUUGAAAUAUAUAAGAUUAUUCUGAUAAUUUUAAAAAAUAUUUAUUUGAAGAAAUAAUUAGAGAGGAAGAUAAACUUUGUCAUAUUUGAUCGGUAGAAAAGUUACUGUUCCAAAUUUUAAAUAAUAUUUUGAAUAAAUAAUAGUAUUUUUUUCUUAGUUUAUCCCUUACAUGAACGCUAAGAAUAUUUGCCCAUAUUGAGUAUUAAAAUAAAUUUAUAUUAGAAAAUAUAUUUUUAUUAUAAAUAAAUUUUAGUAUGUUUCAUAUAUAAAUAAAUAUAUUAAUUAUUAAUAAAUCCCUAUAUUAUAUUUAUUAAUAUUUAAUACAUUUUUGUUAAUAUAUUAGUAUAUUAAAUAUAUUAUUAAUUAAUAUAUUAAUAUAUUUAUGAUAUAUUAAUAUAAUUAAUAUUAAUUAUAUAAUAUAGUUAAUAUACUAUUGAUAUAAUAUAAGUAAGGAUUUUUUUGUCUAGAAAUAGGAUUUUUAGAUACAUCCACUCAGUAAUCUAGUAUGGAAAAAUAUAUCAUCCUUUUAAUGGUAUUUAUUUUAUUUUCUCUCUAAAAAAAUAAAUAUCAAACUAAUCAAAUAUUUUACUAUCUUUUUUUAUUUUUUUAACCAAUUAUAAUAAUCUGACAUAUAAUUUAUUAUUUUCGUACUAGAAUACUCUCAACCAAAUGGAUUCUUAAAUUAUUAGAUGUGACAUAGAAUU
rnacentral:lncRNA from 1 species